rnacentral:rRNA from 1 species
UGGGGAAUUUUGCGCAAUGGGCGAAAGCCUGACGCAGCGACGCCGCGUGAGUGACGAAGGCCUUCGGGUUGUAAAGCUCUGUUGAGGGGGAAGCGGUACCCCUUAAGAAAGCCCCGGCUAACUACGUGCCAGCAGCCGCGGUAAGACGUAGGGGGCGAGCGUUGUCCGGAAUUACUGGGUGUAAAGGGCGUGUAGGCGGCUAAGUAAGUCAGCUGUGAAAUUCCCCGGCUCAACUGGGGGCCUGCAGUUGAAACUACUUAGCUUGAGUGCAGGAGAGGAAGGUGGAAUUCCCAGUGUAGCGGUGAAAUGCGUAGAUAUUGGGAGGAACACCGGUGGCGAAGGCGGCCUUCUGGCCUGUAACUGACGCUGAGGCGCGAAAGCUAGGGGAGCAAACAGGAUUAGAUACCCCUGUAGU